CACAUCACCAUGUUGGAAAUGAGUACAACAAAUUCAAGUCUCCUGAAAGAUAUAAAGGAUCUCAGGGUGCGGGAAGUCCACAGAGACGGUACCCUGUACCUCCGUCCUGAUGGUGCCAACUUGUAUUUACCACUGAGCAGACAGCCACUGAGAGAGGACAGAGAUAUCUACUGAAAUUAGCAUGCUAACUGACUAGCUGCAUCCCGGGCCGUGUUGUAAUACCACUUUAUGACACUAGAUGCUGUGUGAGUCAGUGUAGCUAGUCUGCCCUCAGUCCCACGGAGAAGAAGAGCUUCCUCCAGAGCUUGAAGUUACGCUACAGUUCCCGACAAAAAAAGCUCCCGACUAACAUGACAGAAACAUGGAGAUGUCUGAAGCGCCUAGACGGAGCUCUUUAUCUCCAACAAGAAAACACGUUCAAUGGCAAAGAAGAAAACAUGAGUAAAUCCUGGUGUGAUUUUCCUCCGCUGGAGACAGCUCCGUGUUCAGAGAUGCGGUCUGAUGCCGAACUGCAACUUUUCUGUUAGACUGGACCAGAAGUCCAGUCCAGUCCUCCCCAGUGUUGGACCAGCACCUGCCUUUUCUUCUGGGUCUGGCCUCAUCAACCAUCAACAACCACAUUACAGUAACACCUCAGAGUAUUAUCCCUGCACAGAACACAUAUUGUCUAUACUGUGAUCUUCUGCACAUCCUGCUCAGCGGGAGUUUUUUUUUUCAUAGUUUUUUCAUAGUUUUAUUUUUUUAAUAUGUGUAUCUAUGUAUAUUUAUCUUUGAAUGUUGCAGUAUUUUACCCAUUUCUUGUUAUUUCCUGUUAAUAUGUUUAUUGGAUAAUGCACCAAACACCAAGCCACAUACCUUGUAAGUAAAAAACUACCUGGCAGUAAACCUUAUUUUCUGAUUCUAAAAGUUCGCUGAGGCUCUUCAGCGGACACAGGAAAGGACGUCUCCAGCAGCUGGGAGCUGACCCCUAGUGGUCUUCAAGUAAACUAGUUCAAAAUAUCAUGUUUUAUACUUUACUUCAACUGUCUGUGAGUGACCACAAAGCCUACUAGAGAGUAUUGUAUAUGUGUUGUUUUCAAUAUUAAAUCAACUCAUUUGUAAAUUACUAUUCAAACAUUAUUAGAUCUAUAUGAAUCGGCUAUUUUACAGUGUAGUAGGACUUCACAGUAACUGGCGGUUUUGCAACACUUCCAACUCGCGUGUUAAAAAUGAUCAACGCGACAUUUGAAAGGAAAUGUGGAUGAAGCCAACAGUUAUCCUGCCCUGUUAUUAGCAGCUUAUCUACUAUCAAACAUGGAGAGCGGACAAGAUCAUGGACCUGUGGAUUAAGACUGUGUCACUUAACAGAAAAUCAAAUGACACCUCUGCUCUAACAGCCAAGUGUUUAAGUUUUGAGUUGUAGUUGUAAUUUAGUCACCAUGACUGAGAGUCUUGGUGUGUUUGGUGACAUCCAGCCAGUGUUCUAAUGUGUGUGAAUAUUCUUAUGUUACAUAGAUAGCAACACUUGCUGUCGUGCAGUGUGUGAGCUGCAGAGUUUCCUGUUAAUCAUAACGCUUUACAUGAUUGAGGUAACCAGACAGCUGAGUGGUUACUGCGCUUGGGAUUGCAUGAGAGUCACUAGUUCAAUUCCUGACGGGUCAGACUUUUUGCGGCAUGUCAUUCCCCUAUUCUCUGUCCCCACAUUUCCUGUCUGCCUUCACUGUCCUAUCAAAU